UACAGAGGGUGCGAGCGUUGUCCGGAAUUACUGGGCGUAAAGCGCACGUAGGCGGCUCCAAAAGUCGGAUGUGAAAUCCCUGGGCUCAACCGAGGAAGUGCAUCCGAAACUGCGGAGCUUGAGUAUGGAAGAGGGUCGCGGAAUUCCCGGUGUAGAGGUGAAAUUCGUAGAUAUCGGGAGGAACACCAGUGGCGAAGGCGGCGACCUGGGCCAAUACUGACGCUGAGGUGCGAAAGCGUGGGGAGCAAACAGG
rnacentral:rRNA from 1 species